CAAGAAGUCUGACAUUGCUUCGCUCCCAUUAUUAGAAUACAUUGAUCUUAGCGGAAACAUUAUCCUUCGCCUUCAGGAUGGAGCAUUUUCUAAUCUUCCCUCCAUCAAGGAUAUUAAGCUGUCCUCCAACUUUAUACAAAAGCUGAGGUACCAAGUAUUCAAAGGCCUUUCAUCCAUAGAAACAUUGGAUGUAUCUAGUAACAUUCUUGACGAUAUUGGACCAGAAACUUUCAGUUUAAUGAGCAACCUGAGAGUUUUG